rnacentral:misc_RNA from 1 species
CCUAGCGAGCUGCACACCCACAGUACUGACGACGUCGACAUCGCACGUGAUUUAUCUCUGCUCUCACCUCCAUCACAAAGUUGAAGGGCUCAGAUGCACUGACGGGCUGUCAUCCUCGCUCUGAAAUCAAUCACAACUCAUCGGGAAAUCUGUUGUAACUUCAUAUCCUCCGAAUCCUGAAGAAUAAUCCACGUUGUUGGGUCUGCACAGCACCUCUCUCUGCCUCCCACGAAAUACUGGAGUUGCUCGGUCGUCGCAUCUCGUCUCUUGGCUGCCCCAACCUUGAUGGUGCGGCUGCUGUGUUGCUGAUAUGAGAGUCUACGCAAUGUGGGCGUCGGUGCUGGUGUGGGCGUCGUUGCCCACCGCCCACGCCCUCAUGAUCAAGGAGGAGCCUCAGGUGGAUACGGAACUAUACAUGGCGCCCGCCUCCUACACCCGCAAGGACGGCAAGGCCCUCCCAAGCACCAUAAUCAUCUCUAAACCCCUCGGUAUCCGGACAUCACCCGCCAAGAAUACCGAGUCUCCGGUCGUGUUCUCCAUCGCCUCCGAGGAGGAAGACGACGAUGACUCGCGUGACGGCUCCCUCGGCCUUCAGCCCAACAUCAAGUUCUACAAGAUCGAGUGCACGAGUGGACGGUCUUGCACGUCUAUCAUCCCAUCCAGGUCCAUCUCCCACGACAGGAUCACCGCCAUGGACAGAACCACCGCCAGGCCAUUCACUGACGAAGACAUCAAGAACUACCUAAAGCAGUUUAGUCUUAAAAAUGGGUUUCCCUACACCGACGACUAUGAAUCAAGUGGCACUCCCAAGUCGCCUGAGGAGAGCGAGGAGUCGAGACACUUAGUGGAGACUGAUGAUACCCUCGACCAUGAGACCCAAAGGGCCUUCGGCACCACCCACUUCAACAGGCCUGGUUUCUGGCCCGGUUCAGCCCACCGACCACGCCCGUCGAAGGGCCAAGUGUUCAAAUAUGAACAGUAUUUCCCGAGUGAAAUAAAUCAUCCAGCAGGUGUGAGCGCCCCCGAAAGAAGACCCCCAUUCAACUGGGACAAAAUUUCGGAAUCUUUUCCACCGAGGAACCCAACGAAGGAGUGGCAGAAUGCGCGACCCUUGGGCCAUAGACCUAGUGACAAACAUUCCCGUCCUCAGCACUAUCAGCCCAGCCAACUCUCCAGGCCCCACCAGUCCUCACGUCCUUAUCCGGAGUACGACAGUAACGACCAAAGUGACCAUUUUCCCUUCGACUCGCCUGAGUUUUCCUCUGUGACGACGGUUCGACCUGCGCCUUACGAAGGUGUGUGGAAACGCUAUAGCACGUCGACCAUUUCCCAGCACGACAAGGACACCGGAGAGUGGGUCAAGAUCUCAACAAGCAACACCGAUCUUGACCAGGGAGUGUUCAAGCGGCCGUCCAAUAUCCCGGAUAAACUGUCGGAAACGACUCAUCAGGCCAAGGCCAGCCUGACGGUGCUUGGACUCAGCGAGCGUCGACCACAUUCUGCCUUCAGCGCCCGCCUCCCUCACGGCACCCGUGUGAUGGAGGUGCCCAGUGCCCUGCCUGGUAGGCCUCCCGCACUAAUCGAGACAGACGGUAGUAACGUGGCCAAGACGGAGGGUCUGCCGGGGACCAGCCCGAGGGACACGACAUCCUCCUCCUCUGUCUCGUUCACUUCCGUCUCCCCAACGGGACUUGCCCAAGUGAGUGUUCCUUUCUCUCUCAUCUCCACUAACUCCCUCAAUAAGGAACCCUCAUCCAGCACCACCACCACCACUACCUCCACCACCACAACUACUACCACUACCACUACUCCUCCCCCACCUCCCCCUACUACUACAACUACCACAACCACCACUACCACCACCACUACUAAAAAGCCCCAACCAGCGGAAGAACUAUCAUUUUUUGACAAUCCUUUUGCGGUGAUGGCGGCCGUGGGUGCCGGCCUUGUUCCCGCCACUUUUGCUGCCCUCCUGCCGGCGUUCGUGGGCAGACGCCGCAGACGGUCGGUCGCCGCUCCGGACGGCGCUCUCAAGGACACAGCGAGAAUAAACGUGGAGGAACUGGGCGUGAGGGUCCAACGGGCGUUGCGACGCCUCUACCGACAGAGAUAACCAGUCAUCACUACCUGACGCAGACGGUACCGUCAUCACUCACUGCUGAUGUAAUCUUCUACCCCCUGACACUGACCUACAGACAGCAUGACCUUCCUGGCCACCAUUACACGACCUUGCUGACUACGACUGCACAAUUCACCAGGGCUAGAGCGCAAGAACAACCCUUCAGGAGUAGUUCUCAGUUGCACUCAGUAGAAGCUGUACGCUCUACCUGCUUCCAUCCCCCACUAAACUCAUUCCUAGAUCCUAGACCAAAUAUUACGCUAAUCAAAAUAUCUACUUACCAGAUGUCAAUGGUAAAACAGUGCAGUGUGUUGUGAAGCUGUUGGAUAUGAAAGAUGAGGUGUCCUACCCACUAAUACAACUUUGACUCUUAAAAUCCAUAUUUACAGCACAAUAUUGUAUUGCAGUUGUUAUUUAGUAGAAAAGCACCAUUGAUGAAACCCAUAAGCAGCACUCCCUUCAGAGUAAGAGGUAAAUUUAUUAUGCAACAGUAAGCCAAAUACACUGUUCACGUAUGCUAGCUGUGCUGCAAUGACUGUGAAGUAUGCUGACUAUACUACAAGGAGCUUCUAAGAGUGCUGAGUUUACUUCAAGGAAAUCUGGUUAUUUAAGUAAACUAAAUGUUCAAGGUAAUUAUCAGGUGAAACCAGAUGGCAAGUGUACUAUUAAUUAGGUAUACUGGUGACCCUUCUGGGUGUCUGAUUCGAGCAUACAGAGUGAAAUGAAAAAUCUUUUCUCGAUCAGUUUCGUUCGAAACAUAGGUAGUUGAAAAUGUCUGUAAAAUUGUAUUGAUUUUCUGUAAUAUUGACAGUAUAU